rnacentral:lncRNA from 1 species
GUAAAAAUAAGUGUGUGUUAAAUCAUGUUCUUUUUAAUAAUAAUUGUAUUUUAGCUGUUAAUGUUCUUGUUCUGUUAUUGGAUUGUACAUUUUCUUUGUUAGCUUAUUCUAAAAUAAUUGUUAUCAUUGGUGCAUCAUUGUUUGUUUUUUAAACUGAUUGUACAUGUUCAUCCCUUAGAUGCACAUUUUAUAUUCAUAUCUUUUUUGCAUAUAUCCACAGGCUAGUGAAUUUUUAUCCACAUUAAAUGUUUUAAAAGAAAUGUACAUAGUAUACCAUUACAAAAAUCCUUUAUGGAUAGAAAUUAAAGUGACUGAUAUAUCUGAUUUGAAAUCAAAGCUUGGACAGAGGGUUUGUAUUUUAAUUGGAUUGGAAAAAAAAGUGGUUUAAUAGAACAUUGUAAUCAUUUGGUUUUUGCCACUAAAACAACUGUGUGGUGCAUCUGUUAAUUUUAGGGAUAGGUUGAGAGUAAAUUUAUUGCUUUGGGUGGGGGGGGGGGUAUUUGAGGUGUUCAAUAAAAAAAAUACUUGAAUAAAAAGAAGAUUCCGGGUAAAUUACCAAUUGCCAUUUAAUUUUUUUUUUAUUUUUUAGAUAAAAAAGGGAAAAUUAUUGUGGCAAAGUUUCUAAUUGAUAAAAAAACUCGUAUAACAACAAAAGAAAAAUUUCAAAGUUUGUUUAAUUGCAGAGAGAUAAGAAUCAUUGAAAUUUCUUUAAAAAAAAUAUCAGAGUAAACAGAGAGAUACUAUAAAUUGAGAUACACACCUGAUAAUGAUAAAAUAUUUUCCUUGUUAUGUUUCUGAAAAUUGUAAAUUCUUUUCAUUGUCUGUUAUAUAAUUAUGAAUCUUAUUUUAGGUACACACCUUAAAAUGAUAAAUUUCUUUUUUAUGUAUGAAAUUUAAGUAAACAGUUGAAAAUGAUAAAUUUUUUUCUUUGUGAUGUAUGUUAUUUAGGUACACACCUGAAAAAUUAUAAAUUCUUUUUCUUUGUUAUCUGUGUAAUUUUUGGUACACAGCUAAAAUAAUAAAUUCUUUUCUUUUUCAGUUAUGUAUGUAAUUUAAGUUACACACCUGAAAAUGUUUUUUUUUCUUUGUAAUGUCUAUUAUGUAUGUAAAGUUAGGUACACACCUGAACUGCACUUCCUUCAGGCUUGAUGCACGUCUGAAAAAGUUUUUUAUAUAAAUUCUGUGAUUUAGAUGAUAUUUUCUUACUUUCAUUCAGAAACAAGUGCUAAGAAUUGUAAAUAUUUGUGCAUUGUUAUUUUAUUGUUAAUUCGCACAUGUUGGUGCCGUCCCAAUUGUUGUUAUUGUUACGACAUGCAAUAGCUUUGAUGAGUGAUUAAAGGGGAGGUAACUUCUUCAGGCAGCUAGUACAAGCAGUUGUAUGUAAAUAUUGUUAUUAGCCAUUUUGUUGUCAUGUGAUUUUUGUCUUAGUGCAAGAUAAAGUGUGAUGGUAUCAACUUAA